rnacentral:rRNA from 1 species
UUGCCUACGGGCGGCAGCAGUGGGGAAUCUUGCGCAAUGGGCGAAAGCCUGACGCAGCAACGCCGCGUGCGGGAAGAAGGCCUUCGGGUUGUAAACCGCUUUCAGAAGGAACGAAACUGACGGUACUUUCAGAAGAAGGUGCGGCCAACUACGUGCCAGCAGCCGCGGUGACACGUAGGCACCAAGCGUUGUCCGGAUUUAUUGGGCGUAAAGAGCUCGUAGGCGGUUCGGUAAGUCGGGUGUGAAAACUUUGGGCUCAACCCAAAGCGUGCACUUGAUACUGCCGUGACUAGAGUUCGGUAGGGGAGUGGGGAAUUCCUAGUGUAGCGGUGAAAUGCGCAGAUAUUAGGAGGAACACCGGUGGCGAAGGCGCCACUCUGGGCCGAAACUGACGCUGAGGAGCGAAAGCGUGGGUAGCAAACAGGAUUAGAUACCCGAGUAGUCGA